rnacentral:lncRNA from 10 species
UUGCCCUUUCUAGGUUAUGGUACAACACUGGACCUGAAGAAAAACUCUGAUAUUGUUAUAUUUCAUUCCUUUUAUUGUUUUCUACUAAAAUCUUCAAAACCUUCUUCCAAAAGUGCUGAGAAGCCUCAAAGGGAGUCAGGUGUCCACCCUAGGAACUCAGAGCCAAGAGACAGGUGAGGACCCCCGAAGCUGUCCCCCAGGCUCUCACCAGGCAGAGGUUAGUCACCACCUGAAUCCUGCAAAGUUGCCUCUCCCUCAGACACCUUGGCAUAGUUGGAGAAGGCAGAAACAUAGCUGCUGGCCACCCCAAACCACCCAGAAGCAGCCCAGCGACAGCCAUCCUCUGCCCUGACACACUGGGAGGAGCACAGGCGAACACCCGGCAAUGCCCUGCCCCAUCUUGCCCACAGAGGAGCCCCGCCUACAACCCACUUCCCGGAAAGCCAGCUCCAGGGCAGGAAGUAUGGACAGCCCAUGAUGUUCUGAGGCAUGGGAAAGAGAACACCCAGCCCCUUGUCUCCACCUUCCCGACCCCAGAUGCAGGUGACAAAGACAAUACCAGAAUAGGCCGGGUG